rnacentral:tRNA from 1 species
GCGAAGGUGGCGGAAUUGGUAGACGCGCUAGCUUCAGGUGUUAAUGUCCUUACGGACGUGGGGGUUCAAGUCCCCCCCCUCGCACCA